GACGUAGGGGGCCAGCGUUGCUCGGAAUUACUGGGCGUAAAGGGUUCGUAGGCGGUGUGGCAAGUCGGGAGUGAAAUCUCUGGGCUCAACCCAGAGUCUGCUUCCGAAACUGCUGUGCUUGAGUGUGGGAGAGGCGCGUGGAAUUGCAGGUGUAGCGGUGAAAUGCGUAGAUAUCUGCAGGAACACCCGUGGCGAAAGCGGCGCGCUGGACCACUACUGACGCUGAGGAACGAAAGCUAGGGGAGCAAACGGG
rnacentral:rRNA from 1 species